rnacentral:rRNA from 1 species
AUUGAACGCUGGCGGCAUGCCUAACACAUGCAAGUCGAACGGCAGCACAGUAUGUAGCAAUACAUAUGGGUGGCGAGUGGCGGACGGGUGCGUAAUAUGUAGGGAUCUGCCCUGAAGCGGGGGACAACCCGGGGAAACCCGGGCUAAUACCGCAUAAUACGCUACGGAGGAAAUCUGGCACGCAAGUGCUGGGGCUUUAGGAUGAACCUACAUCCGAUUAGCUAGUUGGUGAGGUAAUAGCUCACCAAGGCAAUGAUCGGUAGCUGGUCUGAGAGGAUGACCAGCCACACUGGGACUGAGACACGGCCCAGACUCCUACGGGAGGCAGCAGUGGGGAAUAUUGGACAAUGGGGGAAACCCUGAUCCAGCAAUGCCGCGUGGGUGAAGAAGGCCUUCGGGUUGUAAAGCCCUUUAGGCGGGGAAGAAGGUUAUAGGGUGAUAAGCCUUAUAGCUUGACGGUACCCGCAGAAUAAGCACCGGCUAACUCUGCGCCAGCCGCCGCCGUAA